rnacentral:rRNA from 1 species
GUCCACGCCCUAAACGAUGUCAACUAGGUGUUGGGAGGGUUAAACCUCUUAGUGCCGUAGCUAACGCGUGAAGUUGACCGCCUGGGGAGUACGGCCGCAAGGCUAAAACUCAAAGGAAUUGACGGGGACCCGCACAAGCGGUGGAUGAUGUGGAUUAAUUCGAUGCAACGCGAAAACCUUACCUACCCUUGACAUGUCAGGAAUCCCGGAGAGAUUUGGGAGUGCCCGAAAGGGAGCCUGAACACAGGUGCUGCAUGGCUGUCGU